AUCCUCCUGCUGCAGCCUCCCAAGUAUCUAGGAUUUCAGGUGUGUGCCACCAUACCCAGUUACUAAUAAAUUCUUCAUAAAACUAUUGGAUAAAGAGGCUAAGCCCAAAUCUUGUAUUAAUAAGUGGAUUUACUUUAACUGAACUUAUAGUCCUCCUCAAACUGAUACUAUCAAAAGAAUUUAGAAAUGUUCAUAUUUGUUAAGAGCUCUCUACCAGACAAAACGACCUCAAAGGCCCUACAUUCUAAAAUGGCUCCCCUUCCUAAAAUGGUUCCCGCUUAUGGAAAUGAGCCACUUUGGAAAAGUGAAACCUACUCCCUCUGGAGAAGCAAAACUUAACUUGUUGCUCCACCCUGCUACCCACGUGAUCCUCCCCUUCCAAUCAGCCGGAGUCCCAUUGCCCAACUCUCAAGAUACUCUCCCAGCUGCACCGCCCUAUAUAAACCUCACCCCCAGUUAGUCUCCUUCUCUCUCACCCAUAAAUCCCUGCCUUGGAUGCUCCUGUAUCGGCUUGUUUUCUUUCAUUCUGGUGCUGAAACUCCAGAAGGCAAUGGUCGGGUUUUCUUGACAAUCUCCCGCUGGCCGGGGUUGCUGACACCCCCAAUCCACAUCUGUGCCUAAUCUCUGGCAGGUGGACCAAAGAAGGACCAGGACAUGAACUCCCCCAUACAGAUUGCCAGGAAGAUAGCUUAAAGAACAGAAAGCAUUGUUUGAAAGGAACUGAAACCCAAAGAUAAAGAAGCCAUGAAGUAUUUCUCCUCUGCGAUGUCCCUCUGCCAUGCCACCCGGCCUUAGAGACAGCGGACCAUGGACUGAAACUUCUACAAAUUCCAACCACUUCCUGGUGUGCGCUGUAAUAACAGGCAGCUGUCCUGUCGGCCCCACUGAAAAAUGAGAUAAUAAGGCAGGCAAAUGAUGUCCUUUAUGUCGAGAAUCUACCACUUCCUGCAGUUUUCUUCUCAAAUGCUGAAGAAAAAUAAGUGUCAGAGAAGACCAAAGCAACCAUGAUCCAAAUAAAACCAUUAACUAAUCUCAAAGCCAGAACCAGCACCAGCCUAAUCCUCCUUCCAAAACAAAUAACCAAAGAGAGUAGUGGAGAUGGUAGCAUUUUCAAUUUUGCAAAAUAUUACAAAAACCAUAUAGAUGAUUUGAUGAAACUGUCAUAGAAGAGAGAAGACAGUGUGCCAAAGAUCUGCUGCAGUUCUCUGCCAACAUUCCCGUUCUUUAAAACAAGUAACCAUCUCAUUUCAUCAAAUAUCGGUAAACCCUGAAACCAGAGCCUGAAAUCAGCUCUCCUUUUCCCAGUAAACUGUUGCCUGCAUUCUGCAGCGAAGUGCCCUGAAGAUAAAGGACUCCUGACAUUACUCAGAAGGAAAGGCUGACAGGGAUUCUUACCUCCUGGCUGCUGGCUGAAGGGCAACGCCCCAGGAUGGUCAGGAGAAAGGCCGAGUUAGCAGCCAUGCGGGCUGGCUCCAUUCUUCCACCCCCUUCCCUGUUACUGGCCUGGCCUCUUCCCUAGGUCCCUCGGGUCUCGCCUCAGAGGGUCAGGACUCAGCUGAGGCUGCCCCAGAAGUGUCUCUGAGGGGUUUCUUGCUUCUGUUGUUGCCCUGCUGAGCCGGAACCCAGGGCCUGGCACAGGACACUGUGCUACACCUCCAGUCCCCCACUGAGGCUUUCUUGCUGUAACUUUUCUGUAUUUACCUCAGGUAUCUCAACUUGUGCUUUUUAAGCUGGCUGUUAAUUCACUUACACAUUAUUUCUUAGAAAAGUCCUACCAGAGACUCUUUAAAAAGUAUAUUCUGGGUUGACAGUCAAGUAUGCAUGAGGCCCUGAAAGAGUGAACUAACUCCUGGUCACACCCAACUAGGUCUGUUCCUAACCUCCAGUUGUGGCCAAAUCAGGUAACCACCCUGGGUCUCAGUCUCCUCCAAAGGGGUCUGGAAACAACUGGGAAGGAGGUCCCUUAGGAGAAGAGAGUCAGGUGGCAGGACAGGAAAGGGCCUGUGAUACUUGCUUGAGACCAGCUUCCCCUUGCUCCUGUGGGAACCCUGGAGUGCAGUCUGGUCCUGGAGUUGAUGCACCAGAGGUAACCAUGGGGCAAGGCUGUCCCCUUAGGCUGAGCAAAUCUACAAAAAAAUGUAGAAUGUGACAGAAGCAUCAGCAGCCAUCAGAAGCCAAUUCCUGGGGACCUGGAGAUAGGAUAAGGUGGGUUAAACACACACAGUGUCACUGCAAUGAUAGUGUUGUGGCAAAGUGGAACAGCUCAGCAUUACAGUCAAGUGGUACAGCUCAAGUGCUACAGCUAUAGCAAUUUGAAGACUCAAGAAUCCAAAAGUUACUCAAAGAAUUACAGAAAAAUCUUUAUUAGCUGGCUAGCUCAGAGGAGCUUGACUGCUCAGAAUUCUGAGCCCAGAGUUGCAGUAGUAGUCAGCUUAUAUACAGCUGGGAAGAGGAAAUUGAGAGGAACCUUUUAGGACAGAGACAUAGCUCGAAGCAGGAACCUCUGGGGUGAAGUUAACAGAACAGACACUUUUGAUACAUUGAGCAGGUACAUUGGGGAGCACAAACAGUUACAGAACAUUAUGAUACAUUGAGCAGGAACACCAUGCAGCACAAAAGGUUACAUUGAUGGAAUAGAACAGUUUAUGGCAAAACAUGGGGGCAGGGCAAAGGCUUGACCUAUUGUAUAAUACUGCUUUAUCAAUAACAAUAGAUCCUGGCAUUCGUGGAGCACUUACUACUGCUUUUCCUCGAAAAUAAAACCUAGCUGGAAAAUAACUCCUAUCGUGAUUUUUCAGGAUGCUCAUAAUAUAAGCCCUGCCUCCCAAAAUAGGCCCCAGUUCAGAUGUCAGCCAGAUGGAUGCAUUUAUUACAUCCUUUAUAAUACAUGACAGACAUAUUGAAUUAUAAAAUAAUAUUAAUAUAUAAUUAAAUAUAAAUAUUAUUGACAUGAAUACUUAAAUGAUAAUAUAAAUUAUAAUUAGGUAUUUGUAAAUACCCAAGUGGGUGCCUUCGGAUGAGAGGUAAACACUUACAUCAACAAAUGAACUUAAGACUUAUUGUUGAAUGACUAAUUGGAAUAUGGACAUAACACACGAAUAACAUGCACACUUGAUAAUGAACAGAUGUGGUUGUGUCUAGUAUAAAUCCUUGUAAUUCAAUUCAUCAUGUGUUGUAAUGGACGUAUUUAAUGCACUCAUGUGAAAUAAAGAAACAUUUUCUGAUUUUUA